rnacentral:rRNA from 1 species
AUACGUAGGGGGCGAGCGUUGUCCGGAAUGAUUGGGCGUAAAGGGCGCGUAGGCGGCCCGGUGAGUCUGGAGUGAAAGUCCUGUUCUUAAGAUGGGAAUUGCUUUGGAUACUGUCGGGCUUGAGUGCAGGAGAGGUAAGUGGAAUUCCCAGUGUAGCGGUGAAAUGCGUAGAGAUUGGGAGGAACACCAGUGGCGAAGGCGACUUACUGGACUGUAACUGACGCUGAGGCGCGAAAGUGUGGGGAGCAAACAGGAUUAGAUACCCUGGUAGUCCACACUGUAACGAUGAAUGCUAGGUGUAGGGGGUAUCGACCCCUUCUGUGCCGCAGUCAACACAAUAAGCAUUCCGCCUGGGGAGUACGGCCGCAAGGUUGAAACUCAAAGGAAUUGACGGGG